rnacentral:sRNA from 13 species
AACGUGCCAUUACAGUAGCACAAUACAGACACUUCAAAUCCUUGUUGCCGUUCCUCACAAAGAUAGACUACAAUAAGAUGCUAAAACUUGAGCCAGCUACAAACAAUGCAAUGCAAGAUCUCUUAGAUGAAUCGUUAAGGCAUAACGUCUGCAGAUUUUGUCGUGGAAGGCCUGUCAACUGGCGACUAGUUUGUUGUGGACAUGUUUCUUGUGACACCUGCCUGGCUUCUCGUCUAUCGUGUGAGUGUUGUGCGACCUACAAGCAAUGCAGACCACUAAACAAUAUUU